rnacentral:misc_RNA from 1 species
UCCCAACCAGGGGGAUGGGGAAGGCCUGCCCCCUUUUCUCUGUGUGUGUGUGUCUCACUUCUUUUUCUGGUGGUGCCGGGUCCGCUGCUGCACGCCCGCCCGUGAGUGUGCUGUCUGCUCCUGUGUCUCGUUCGUCGUGCACACAGGACGAGAAGCACCCCUUUUCUUGCUUGCUCCUUUUUGAUUAUUAAAAAAGGGAAAAAAAGAGAUCCGUAUGUGUGUGUGUUUCUUUUUUAUAUUAUUCCCCCCGGCACACAGAGUCACACACACACAACUACUCUGCUGACUUGUGUGUGUUGUUCUUGUUUGCGAAACAUUUCUUUCAUUCGACAACACACCACCACCGCAGUGCGAGCGGUUUGUGCCCAGGCCUGAUCGGUCUGGUGAGCCUCACACCAACACACAUUUUACUUGCUACACAUUAUUAUAUUUUGACGGGGGGAUCUUUACUGCUACUGCUGCUGCUGCUCACUCCAUUUUUGUUUCGCCAAAAUAAUUCGUCCACCGACUGUUUUGUCAUUUCGGCAAGUCUAUCGAGAGAAAAAAAAGUGAGUGUGUGUGUGAAUGACCAAGUGAGUUUCUUCUUUCAGUUUUGCCCAUCUAACGCACACACUCUGGCCCCCAAGAUCAUGGAGCCGCUGCUGCUGAGUAAGAUUGAUCGGAUAUUCAACUCGCUCAGACCUCAGAAUCAUCCAAGCCUCCAUCACUCGACGUUGGAGUGAACUCUUUUAUUUUUAUUUUUAUUUCUUUAUCUUUUUUUUCUGGGGGGUGGGGUUGAGCGGCAAAAUUUCAAAUAACAUUUUCAAAGUACAAAAAAGAAAGAAAAGAGUCGGUCGGUCGUCGACGGGGGGGUUUUGAACGGAUCCUUCCAUGAUGAAUUAUCCAGUUUGGCCGGAUUCGGCCGGGGUGGCCGGUUACUCUCGGACAUUGCUGGGCCAAGGUGGAGGCGGAAUGCGGUCGUCGUUGGCUCCACCGCCACCUCCUCCGCCUGCAGCCCCCUCAAGUGCCGGGACCGCCGAUGAAGGAGGCACCAACAAAUGCAACCCGCCGAAAUAUAACGUCACCAACGGAGGAACGGACCCGACAACUAUUCAACGCUCAGCCAAUCACCAUUCAUCUUCUUCCGCAGCCGGCGGAUCCUCGUCGUCCUCGGCGGCCCGUUUGAAUAAUGGAGACGAUUGUGGCAGCAGUGGCGGCGGAGGAGCUCGAGGCCAUCAGCUCCCCUCGGCGGACAAAUACGCCCCGCUGUCUUCCUUUACCGACGACGACAGUCUCCUCAAGGUGGCGACACAUUUUCUCAGCGGUGGAAACGGGCAGGGUCGACACUACAUGCCUAUUGCCCGCGAUUACUCAACAUUGAGCUAUUCCUCGGGCGUUUCCGUCAGUACAGCCGGCUCCUAUUGUAAUCCCGGCCAGCAGCAGCAGCAGCAACAACAGCAGCAGCAACAACAACAACAGCAGCAGCAACAACAACAACAGCAAGUUGCGGCCCUCUCGUUGGAACGACCGGGGGGUACGGCACGCAAUCCUCAUACUUCAGAUGGUGGUCCGGGAGCCGGAAGCCGGAUAUCUUCAGCGUCUAGUUCAGAUAAUGGAGGACCGAAUACGGCCGGCGGCGCGGGCCAACCCAACCCGUUACUCUCUCCGUGCAGCGUCAUGGAAGAAGCCUCGAGUCCCGGCUCGACGACCAGUCAAUUAUCCUAUUUGGGUGCCCUACAAAGUCCGGCCAAUUCCGGCUUGACUCCGCUCGGCUUCCCAGCUCCGUACCUUUUAACCAAAGACGGUGCCGGAUUGGCCGCUGCGGCCGCAGCUGCCGCCGCCCAAGCUGCUCACGUCGCUGCCCAGCAGGUCGGGCACGGUGGUGGGCAUGGAGGGCAUGGUGGACAUGGCGGCGGCGGAGGACACGGCCACAGUGGACACGGUAGCGGCAUAAGCGGACCCAAACAGAAGAAAGAACCUAAACCGGGCAGUGAUGUACGUUCAUUCGGAUGUCAGGUUUGUGGACGUGGAUUCAAACAAAAGGCGACGUUGGCUCAGCACGAAAGGACCCACACGGAUGAACGACCGUUCGAUUGUCCUGAUUGCCACAAACGCUUCCGUCAGCAGUCUCACUUGGUGCAGCAUUUACGGAUUCAUUCGGACGAGCGACCCUAUGGAUGCACCUACUGCGAAAAGGCGUUCCGUCAGAAGGCGAUACUCAACCAGCAUAUCCGGAUCCAUACGGGAGAGAAGCCGUACGUUUGCCCACAGUGCACUAAAUGCUUCCGACAGAAAGCCAUACUUAAUCAGCACAUCCGGACGCACUCGGGCAAACGCCCCUACUCUUGCCCGGACGCCAAAUGCAAAAAGAAAUUUGUCGAUCAGGCGUCGAUGGAGAAACAUUUCAAAAAGCAUAUCGAGGAUGACCAGCAGCAGUUGCUGGCCGAAGCACGAGGCGGACCUGGGAUGAGGUCCACCAACGCCGGAGGACGCAACAAUGCCAAAGGAUUGUUGCGGGUCAAAUUGAACAAUUCUGACCGACCGGCUACAACUUUCAGCCGCGUCUUGGCGCCUGGCGCCGGCGGGAUCUCGACUCAGGACCGGGCCACAUCUCCUUUCCCAAUCAACAUGAUGACCCGCCCUGGACAAAACAAUAACAACAACAACAAUAAUAAUAAUGCCGCGUCGGGCGCUCCUACUCCGGCCGGAACUGCUUCCGCUUCUCCUGAACGGAUGGCCGACACUCCGGCUGCUAGCCGGAUUGAAUUAGCCGCCCACGAAGGAUCAUCUCAACAAGCACCGCCCACUUACCUGACUCAUCACGGGCACCAUCACCACCACCAGGCGGCUGCAGCCGCAGCAGCCGCCAGCAAUCCAGCUUCCGGCCCUUACCAUUUUGUUCCGUUUCCUCACCGACCCUACCACUAUGAUCUGCUGAGUCUCGGUUCCAUGGGUCAAUCCAUGUACGGCGGCGGAGGUAGCAAUAACAAGAUGGCCGAGCAGCAUGCAGCAGCCAAAUACCGCUCGGAUGCUUUGGGCGAGGCUCCUCACAGCCAACAAAUGGGAGGCGCUAUGGAUAAGGAGUGCGUCGGAGGUGCCAACAACAAUAUGGCAACCAACUACACGGUUAAUGGAAGCGUCAAAAAGGAUAGUGUUCCUUAAAGGAAAAGGAGAAGAAAGUUUUGGGGAAAUUUAAAACCUACCGACAGCUAGUAAUGACGACAACUUUAAAGAAGGGAAAAGAAGGAGAAAGGAGAAGGAGAAGAAACCGAUUUUUUAAAAUUAAGAGAAAGAGAAAAAUGAAUCGCGUCCGCCACACGUGUUUUGUAUACGUACACACCUCUGCCUUGAAAAAGAAAUUAAAACAAGUUAAAAAAUUUAGAGAAUUGCUAAAGAAUGAUUUGUGAAAGAGAGAUGAUAACAAGUUAAAGAUGUUGAUGAUGCGUCUCCCGCUGGUUCGAUUGAUCUUACGUGUCUCUUUAUAAUAAUAAUUUCGUGCGUGUUAUUACUUUUUAUCUCGUUGUUAAUUUGGUUGUUCAUUUUUUUUUAUAUAUAUAUAAAAAUUGAUCCUUGAUGACGUGCUUGAUUGUAUGAAUUUUUUCUCCUGAAUUUUUCUCGUUUGUUUAAAAAAAAAAGUUUUCUUUGUUUUUUAAUUAAGAUCCCUUCGCCUGCCCUUAUUCUCAUCCGCAUGGUGUCGCGGAAGUAAAACACACACACCCUCCACAAACAAUGUUUUGCAAAUAUCUUUUUUUUUUUCUUAAUUUUUAUUAUUUUUGAUUUCCCGAGGUCUACAAGGUACGGAUGAGCGGAAAGAAAGGAAAAAAAAAAAUAAAAUGAAAAAAUCUAAAACAUUAAAAAAAUGUAAAAUAAAAAUCAAAAAAAAAAAAAUGUGAAAGGAAAAAGAAAAGAAAGAAAAAAUACCUAGUGCUGUUGCGGAUUCACAAAUAACACUGCCACGUGGCUUCGAAUACACUAGAAUGUGCAAGUCCGAGUGAUGUUAUUAUAUAUCUUUGGUCUUUUUUAUCAGGCGAAGCUACCGGUCGACUUUUACAACCGGUGGUUUGCCGUAUAUGGUGGUAACAUGUUUUUGUUUUUCUUAAUGAUUGUCUUUCCAUCUGGUUUGUUGUUGUGUGUAUUUCGGUCUUGUUAAACUUCAAUCACAUGGAAAAAGUAACAUUUUGUCCCAUUCGUAAAACGUCGUCCCAUUAUAGGGGGCGGCACAACCUUGUUUUUCUGGUUUCUUAUCAACACAAAAAAGUUUUACGGAAUAAUAAUUAGACAUGUCGAUGACGAUAAUGAUUGCGUGUGUGUGUUUAGUGCAUCAGGGGGGAACAUUGAACUCGUUUCGGUGCCAAAAAAAUUGAUUACGCAAAAUGAAUAAGAACAGCAUGCGAAGAAAAAGAAGAGCUGAAAAAAUGGCGCCUUCGUUAUCCAAAUAAAUUAUGACACUCGACGAGAAUUUCAAAAAAGAAAAACAUUUCUCAAAA